UACGGGGGGGGCAAGCGUUGUUCGGAAUUACUGGGCGUAAAGGGCGCGUAGGCGGUUUGCUAAGUUGAAUGUGAAAACUCUGGGCUUAACCCAGAGCCUGCAUUCAAUACUGGCAGGCUAGAGUUCUGGAGGGGAUAGCGGAAUUCCUGGUGUAGCGGUGAAAUGCGUAGAUAUCAGGAGGAACACCGGUGGCGAAGGCGGCUAUCUGGGAAGAUACUGACGCUGAGGUGCGAAAGCGUGGGGAGCAAACAGG
rnacentral:rRNA from 1 species